GAUGAACGCUAGCUACAGGCUUAACACAUGCCAGUCGCGGGGCAGCAUCGGCGUUGCUUGCAUUUUCCGAUGGCGACCGGCGCACGGGGGAGUAACACGUAUCCAACCUCCCCUCCACCCCGGGAUAACCCGUCGCGAAUCGGACACUUAUCCUAAGUUAUCCCUUUACAACAUCUGAGUUAGAGGUAAGAGUUGUAUGGGAAAGGGGGGGGGAUGCGUGUGAUUAGCUUGUCGGCGGGGUCACGGCCCACCGAGGCAACGAUCAGUAGGGGUUCUGAGAGGAAGGUCCCCCACAUUGGAACUGAGACACGGUCCAGACUCCUACGGGAGGCAGCAGUGAGGAAUAUUGGUCAAUGGGCGUGAGCCUGAACCAGCCAAGUAGCGUGCAGGAUGACGGCCCUAUGGGUUGUAAACUGCUUUUAUGAGGGGAUAAAGUGGGAGUCGUGACGGUUUUUGCAGGUACCUUAUGAAUAAGGACCGGCUAAUUCCGUG
rnacentral:rRNA from 1 species